rnacentral:lncRNA from 1 species
CUGGUCCUGUAGUGACUCUUAAGGUGUUUGAGGACAAUGUUUUAAUUCGUGAGUUUCUUGAGGAGAAGGGUAAUGGCAGAGUUCUUGUUGUUGAUGGCGGUGGCAGUUUGCGCUGUGCGAUACUUGGAGGCAAUCCUGUGGUACAAGCUCAGAACAAUGGAUGGGCUGGUAUAGUGGUUAAUGGCUGCAUAAGGGAUGUUGACGAGAUUAUGGGUUGUGAUAUUGGAGUGAGAGCCCUGGCCUCCCAUCCAAUGAAAGCCAAUAAGAAGGGGAUUGGAGAGAAACAUGUUCCUAUUACCAUAGGUGGCACCAGAAUCAGUGAUGGAGAAUGGCUUUAUGCAGAUACUGAUGGAAUCCUGAUUUCUCGAACA